GUAACACUAACUGGAGGACCGAACCCCCUGUCGUUGAAAAGCCAGGGGAUGACUUGUGGAUAGGGGUGAAAGGCUAAUCAUGCCUGGUGAUAGCUGGUUCUCCCCGAAAGCUAUUUAGGUAGCGCCUCGGACGAAUACCAUAGGGGGUAGAGCACUGUUUCGGCUAGGGGGUCAUCCCGACUUACCAAACCGAUGCAAACUCCGAAUACCUAUGAGUACUAUCCGGGAGACAGACUGCGGGUGCUAACGUCCGUAGUCAAGAGGAAAACAAUCCAGACCGCCAGCUAAGGCCCCAAAAUCAUAGUUAAGUGGGAAACGAUGUGGGAAGGCAUAGACAGCUAGGAGGUUGGCUUAGAAGCAG
rnacentral:rRNA from 1 species